AUUCUCAAGACAUGUACCGCUGACGUUGUCAGCCACAUGCCCGGGUAGUCUGGAUCUCAUGACUACGGUGCGUUCAACGCAUUGAUCCAUCCC
rfam:Pseudomonas syringae pv. pisi str. 1704B contig3475.1, whole genome shotgun sequence.